rnacentral:rRNA from 1 species
GACAGAGGGUGCGAACGUUGCUCGGAAUCACUGGGCGUAAAGCGCGUGUAGGCGGACCAUCAAGUCAGGUGUGAAAUCCCUGGGCUCAACCUAGGAACUGCAUCUGAAACUGGCGGUCUUGAGUGUCGGAGAGGGAAGCGGAAUUCCGGGUGUAGAGGUGAAAUUCGUAGAUAUCCGGAGGAACACCGGUGGCGAAGGCGGCUUCCUGGACGAUUACUGACGCUGAGACGCGAAAGCGUGGGGAGCAAACAGG